AUUGAACGCUGGCGGCAGGCUUAACACAUGCAAGUCGAGCGAGUGGCGGACGGGUGAGUAAUGUAUGGGGAUCUGCCCGAUAGAGGGGGAUAACUACUGGAAACUGUGGCUAAUACCGCAUACUAUCGGAUGAACCCAGAUGGGAUUAGCUAGUGGGUGGGGUAAAGGCUUACCAAGGCGAAGAUCUCUAGCUGGUCUGAGAGGAUGACCAGCCACACUGGGAUUGAGACACGGCCCGGACUCCUACGGGAGGCAGCAGUGGGGAAUAUUGCACAAUGGGCGCAACCCUGAUGCAGCCAUGCCGCGUGUAUGAAGAAGGCCUUAGGGUUGUAAAGUACUUUCAGCGUUGAGGCGUUACCCGCAGAAGAAGCACCGGCUAACUCCGUGCCAGCAGCCGCGGUAAUAC
rnacentral:rRNA from 1 species